rnacentral:tRNA from 1 species
GGCUGGUGAGAUGGCUCAGUGGGUAAGAGCACCCGACUGCUCUUCUGAAGGUCCAGAGUUCGAAUCCCAGCAGCCA